CUAGCUAUCAAAAGCGGCAGGUAACGUCUACUCCCAGCAAGGGACAUGCACAACCACCGCCGCCGCCUGUAUCUAGUAUUUCAGAAGAGUCCGAUCGAAAUGGGUAUGUAUCUUAGAACUGCGUUUCUAAACCAGCCAUGCAGGACAUUGUAAGUUGUGACUGACUUAUUUAUCUUUUGAAUCAGGGACAAAGAAUUCGCUAUGCAAGGUGUUCAACCGUUGGGAAAAGAAACCGAAGCGGUUGGUGUGCUAGAAUCCAGCAUGCACUCCUUGAGCAUUGCUGAAGAGGAGCAGCAUGACUCUCUGGAUGAGGAGGAGGCGAAUGAUAUGAGGAACAGCAUUAUUGACAUGGAUGAUUGCUGGGAGGAUCCUAAUCAGA